ACCCGGCCGCUGCCGGUCGGCCCGCUGGUUGGUCGGUUAGUUGGUCGGUGGGUCGGUGGCCUAGAGCUCGCUUCUCGGCUCUCAUGUUCGGAGGUGGGAGGGGCACGGGAAAGGCCCGCACACCUGAGCUGCCCGGAGAGGAUCCCCGCACCCAGGAGAAGGAGGAGACUAAGCAGGGGGAAGGACUCAUGGCUUCUGAUGCGAGUCACGCGCUGGAAGCUGCCCUGGAGCAGAUGGACGGGAUCAUUGCAGGCACUAACACAGGGGUAGAUAUUAGCGAUGAUACCUGUGAGCCUGGACUGGCCUCCGCGGCUUCCUACAUGAACCCCUUCCCGGUGCUGCGUCUCGUCGAGGACUUGAGGCUGGCCCUGGAGAUGCUGGAGCAUUCUCAGGAGAGAGCAGCCCUGCUGAGCCAGAUCCCAGGCCCCACAGCUGCCUACAUGAAGGAGUGGUUCGAGGAGAGCGUGUCCCAGGUAAAUCACCACAGUGCUGCUAGUAAUGAAACGUACCAGGAACGCUUAGCACGUCUAGAAGGAGAUAAGGAGUCCCUCAUAUUACAGGUGAGUGUCCUCACAGACCAAGUGGAAGCCCAAGGAGAGAAGAUUCGGGACCUGGAAGUGUGUCUGGAAGGGCACCAGGUGAAACUCAAUGCUGCUGAAGAGAUGCUUCAACAGGAGCUGCUAAGUCGUACAUCUCUUGAGACUCAGAAGCUCGAUCUGAUGACUGAAGUGUCUGAGCUGAAGCUCAAGCUGGUGGGCAUGGAGAAGGAGCAGAGAGAGCAGGAAGAGAAGCAGAAAAAAGCAGAGUCGGUUCUGAAUGUGAUCAGUGAGCUGCAGGAGCAGAUGUGUAGGCUGCAGCUGGACAUCCACAGGCAGAUUCAAGAGCGCCUCUCACUCAGUAGGGACCACCCUGAGGAGGUGGCAGCCGGCGACGGUGCGGCCCGGCCCCAGCCCUGCGGCCAGGAGUGUGCCCGUUGGGAGGGGUCACCUGAGUUACUGCAGGAGCUCCGGCACCUCAAAAUCAAGGUGGAAGAGUUGGAAAAUGAACGGAACCAGUAUGAAUGGAAACUGAAGGCCACCAAGGCUGAGGUAGCCCAGCUGCAAGAGCAGGUAGCCCUGAAGGAUGCAGAAAUUGAGCGUCUGCACAGCCAGCUGUCCCGGACCGCAGCUCUGCACAAUGACCAUGCAGAGAAAGACCAAGAAAUCCAACGUCUGAAAAUGGGGAUGGAAACUUUGCUUGUUGCCAAUGAAGAUAAGGACCGUCGGAUAGAGGAGCUUACUGGGCUGUUAAACCAGUACCGAAGGGUGAAGGAGAUCGUGAUGGCGACUCAAGGGCCUUCAGAAAGAACUCUCUCAAUCAAUGAGGAGGAACUGGAGGGAGGUUUCAGAAACUGGAACACUGCAAAUAAAGGCCCUGAAGAACUUUUUAAACCAGAGGUAUCUCCAAGAGGUAGCUCUCCCACGGUGGGACCACCCCCGCUACCGCAGAAAUCACUGGAAAGCAGGGCUCAGAAAAAACUCUCCUGUAGUCUCGAAGACUUGAGAAGUGAAUCCGUGGAUAAGUGCGUCGGUGGGAACCAGCUCUCCCCAGUGGUAGAACCCAAGGACGGCCCUUUCCUGGUGGAGCACAAGUACCCCACGUUACCUGGGAAGAUUUCAGGAGCCACGCCCAACGGAGAGGCUGCCAGAUCUUCUCCCACUGCCUCCCCGCAUGACCCUGCAGGGAGCGGCCUGCUGAGGCUGAAUCGUGGCCGGAGUGUCAGUGCCCCCGUGCUAGGAGACACAGAAAGUGGUUGGGACAACACUGCUGUGGUCAAUGACCUCUCAUCCAUGUCAUCGGGCACCGAGUCCAGCCCCCAGUCUCCCGUGACAUCAGAUGGUAAACGGAGCCCCAAAGGCAUCAAGAAAUUCUGGGGAAAAAUCCGAAGGACUCAGUCAGGAAAUUUCAACACCGAUGCCCCGGGGGUGGCCGAGUUUCGACGAGGUGGACUCCGGGCAACUGCAGGGCCAAGACUCUCUAGGACCAGAGACCCCAAGGGUCAGAAAAGUGAUGCCAACGCCCCCUUCGCCCAGUGGAGCACAGAGCGUGUGUGUGCAUGGCUGGAGGACUUUGGCCUGGCUCAGUACGUGAUCUUUGCCAGGCAGUGGGUGACUUCUGGCCACACUUUACUGACAGCUACCCCUCAGGACAUGGAAAAGGAGUUGGGAAUUAAGCACCCUCUUCAUAGGAAAAAGCUGGUUUUAGCAGUGAAAGCCAUCAACACCAAACAGGAGGAGAAGUCUGCACUACUAGACCACAUUUGGGUGACACGUUGGCUUGAUGAUAUUGGCUUACCCCAGUACAAAGACCAGUUUCAUGAAUCCAGAGUCGACGGGCGAAUGCUGCAGUACCUAACUGUGAAUGAUCUACUUUUCCUAAAAGUCACCAGCCAACUACAUCAUCUCAGCAUCAAAUGUGCCAUUCACGUGCUGCAUGUCAACAAGUUCAACCCUCACUGCCUGCACCGGCGGCCAGCUAAUGAGAGUAACCUUUCUCCUUCAGAAGUUGUGCAGUGGUCCAACCACAGGGUGAUGGAAUGGUUGCGGUCCGUGGACCUGGCGGAAUAUGCACCCAACCUUCGUGGGAGUGGCGUCCAUGGAGGUCUCAUUAUCCUGGAGCCACGCUUCACUGGGGACACCCUGGCCAUGCUUCUCAAUAUCCCACCACAAAAGACACUCCUCAGACGCCAUCUGACCACCAAAUUCAAUGCCUUGAUUGGUCCUGAGGCUGAGCAGGAGAAGCGAGAGAAAAUGACUUCACCUGCUUACACGCCACUGACUACCACAGCCAAAGUCCGGCCAAGGAAACUGGGAUUUUCACAUUUUGGAAACAUAAGAAAAAAGAAGUUCGAUGAAUCGACAGACUACAUUUGCCCAAUGGAGCCCAGCAACAGUGUCGGUGACAGUCACAGGGUCUGUAUUGGCUACCAGGGCCUCAGCCCCCUCGAUGCCCCUGAACUGGAUGGGCUGGACCAGAUGUCACCUUCGGAAGGCACCCUGACGCAGAUAGGGCUCCUCUCCCAAGACAUUCACCGCCUCACGGGCCUCACAGUUCCUAGACGGCCCCAGCACUGAGCCCAGCGGCCAGAGCAUCCAGCCCAUUGAGGCCUUUGCUGAUUUACUGAGGCAGGUAAUGAAGGCUGUAUCCAAGGGCAAGACGGUCAAGGAGGUGGGCGCGGGGGGGGGUCUCCCCGAAUCCAAACAAGAUCACUGUUUUCAAUUUGUUUUUUUCUUGGCUCACACACUGAAAUGAAUCUACCCAGCCUUGCCCUUAUCACUUCUAUAGGCCUUUGGUGGCCUUGAAAUAGCAACUUUACUUCUAAAGACUAUGCUCAGCCAGGACCAGCUGCUGACCGACUCCCGCCUGGCCGCUCCCAACUCUGAGGACUGGUGAUGACUGUCUUAUCGCUGGCAGCCCGGAGAGGCACGUGUGAGGGCCUGAGUCUGCUUCGAGGGGGGGCUGGCCCAUGGCCACCCGCGGAGCCCAGGCUGGGCUACAGGACAUCUCCAACAUGGGUGCUGACGGGACAAAGCGGGGCUGUGGAACAGAUGUCCAGGAGGUGGCCCACAUGUUUUCAACUGUGCUGUGCUCUUCAUUGUGCUUUUAUACCUUUUGUACUUUUAUACGUGGACUGUAAACCACUUUUGUGGGGAGGGCGAUGAGAUGCCAGCACAGACUCAAUGACUCACGCCAUCCCUGGUGACAGCUGGGGGUUCUUAAACCAAAGGGGAAGGGCUGUGAGUCAUAAAAGCUUUGCUGGAAAAAUAA